CCUACGGGUGGCAGCAGUGAGGAAUAUUGGUCAAUGGGCGCGAGCCUGAACCAGCCAAGUCGCGUGAGGGAUGACGGUCCUACGGAUUGUAAACCUCUUUUGCCGGGGAGCAAGCGUGCGUUCGUGAACGCGCGUCGAGAGUACCCGGAGACAAGGCCUCGGCUAACUCCGUGCCAGCCGCCGCGGUAAUACGGAGGAUGCGAGCGUUAUCCGGCUUUCUUGGGUUAAAAGGGUGCGUAGGCGGGAUGCCAAGUCAGCGGUAAAAAUGCGGUGCUCAACGCCGUCGAGCCGUUGAAACUGGCGUUCUGGAGUGGGCGAGAGGUAGGCGGAAUGCGUGGUGUAGCGGUGAAAUGCAUAGAUAUCACGCAGAACUCCGGUUGCGAAGGCAGCAUACCGGCGCCCGACUGACGCUGAGGCACGAAAGCGUGGGUAUCGAACAGGAUUAGAUACCCUUGUAGUC
rnacentral:rRNA from 1 species